rnacentral:rRNA from 1 species
GAUGGGCGCAGCCUGAUGCAGCGACGCCGCGUGCGGGAUGACGGCCUUCGGGUUGUAAACCUCUUUCAGUGGGGACGAAUUCAGACGGACCCCACCGAAGAAGCCCCGGCCAACUACGUGCCUGCAGCCGCGGUAACACGUAGGGGGCGAGCGUUGUCUGGAAUCAUUGGGCGUAAGGAGCUCGUAGGCAGCUCGUUAAUUCGGGUGUGAAACCCCCAGGCUCAACCUGGGGACGCCACCCGAUACUGCUGUGGCUAAAUUCCGGUAAGGGAGUGUGAAAUUCCCGGUGUAGGGGUGAUUUGCUCAAAUAUCGGGAGGAACACCAUCGGCAAAGGCGGCUCUCUGCGCUGGAACUGACUCUGAGGACCGAA